rnacentral:rRNA from 1 species
GACGGAGGAUGCAAGCGUUAUCCGGAAUGAUUAGGCGUAAAGCGUCCGCAGGUGGCAGUUCAAGUCUGCUGUCAAAGACCGGGGCUUAACUUCGGAAAGGCAGUGGAAACUGAACAGCUAGAGUAUGGUAGGGGCAGAGGGAAUUCCUGGUGUAGCGGUGAAAUGCGUAGAGAUCAGGAAGAACAUCGGUGGCGAAGGCGCUCUGCUGGACCAUAACUGACACUCAGGGACGAAAGCUAGGGGAGCGAAUGGG